UUUUAGUAGCAGAUUGCAAUACCUAGGACUUUCAAAUCAUUAUUUUUAAUUCUUAUGUUGUGGCAAUCCAUUUUUUUCUCUUUAAUUGGAACUUAUUUUACCAUCUAUGUUUCUCCGCAGGAUGAUAUCAGGAUUGUUCCGAAACUUAGACAUGACAUUCCCCGUCAUUAAGUUAAAUAGGUGAUAUGUUCACUUUGUGGGACUGAACAAGAGAACUGGAGGAUCUGAAAAUUGCUUCCACUGCGACAAGUGUGGUUGUUGCCACUCAACUCUGCUGAAAAAUAGUCACACUUGUGUGGAGAAGGCAAUGCAUCAUGAUUGUCCUGUUUGUUUUGAGGAAAAAAUCUUGAAACAGCCACAAUGGUACAACCUCCACGAAAUAUCUACUUUGAUGUUAGUACCUCAACUCAUUGCUUUUAACCGUAUAACAUCAUAUAAUGUA